rnacentral:rRNA from 1 species
CGCGGCCUAUCAGCUAGUUGGUGGGGUAACGGCCUACCAAGGCAUUGACGGGUAGCUGGUCUGAGAGGAUGGCCAGCCACAUUGGGACUGAGAUACGGCCCAGACUCCUACGGGAGGCAGCAGUGGGGAAUAUUGCGCAAUGGCCGAAAGGCUGACGCAGCGACGCCGCGUGGGGGAUGAAGCAUUUCGGUGUGUAAACCCCUGUUGCCCGGGACGAACAACUGGAUUCUUCCAGUCUGACGGUACCGGGUGAGGAAGCACCGGCUAACUCCGUGCCAGCAGCCGCGGUAAUACGGAGGGUGCGAGCGUUGUCCGGAAUCACUGGGCGUAAAGGGCGCGUAGGCGGUCUGCUAAGCGUGUGGUGAAAGCUCGGGGCUCAACCCCGAGUCUGCCAUGCGAACUGGUGGACUUGAGCACUGUAGAGGCAGGUGGAAUUCCGGGUGUAGCGGUGGAAUGCGUAGAGAUCCGGAAGAACACCGGUGGCGAAGGCGGCCUGCUG